GCCCGCGGGGUCGGCGCCCCUCCCGAGGGGCCCCGGUGCACACGCCCACCGCCGCCACCGGCACCGCGAGGCCCUGCGGCUCUGCGGAGGCCCCGCGCCGCCCGGGAGGACCGGCCCGGCCCGGGAGCAGCAGUGGGCGUGCCCGCGGCGCCGCGGCAGCCGGAGCCCAGCUUGGGACGGCCGCCCGCCCGCCCCCGGCCACCCCUCCGCGGGGGAGGGACCGUCGCGGCGCGGGGGCUGACCCCGGCUCGCACCCACCCCCGGCUGGCGCGAGGCCCCGGGUCGCACCCUCCGCGGUGCACUUGUCCGGGGGUCAGGACGAGCUGAACGUUCUCCGGGGGCAAAACCCUCGUUCUUUGCCUUUGACUUCGCAAAAGCCCCGGAAGCUGAUGACUUGUUCACUGCGUUAUCGGUGAGCGCGGGCCCAGGAAGGUAUUUUGUAGGAUCGUGCAUAGGGUUUAUAUUCUAUGAUCAGGUAGAACAGAGAGAAGACACUGGCUGUGGUCGGGCCGCUCGGUAGAGAACGUUCUCCCGACAGCAGGACCGACGGAGUCUCCAUUUGGGGGAAGAGCGACACCACCCCUACAGACCCCCAUGUGGGCGGGAGGGGCGGGACGGCCUCCAGGCACCUUGGACCGGCACCCCGGGCUAAGCAGUGUGAAGGCGAUCCCUACCGGUGAGUCUGCUGGUACGUCUCUGCUGGUCAGAGAUCACAGAGGUGGGGAGGGCCGUGCCUUGAGGCUCCUUCCCUGACUCUGGACCGAUGAGCACCGCCUCCUAGUUCCUGGCUUGAGAAAACCGUAAGACGCUCCAGGGGAAGCAACAAAUGGCACAUGCAAGACAAGCAAGAGGAGCACCGCCAGCUGCAUGCUAAGACUAACGAAAAGGAAUUUUGCUGGGUUUACGGUUAAGUCCCAUGUUUAAGUUCCCAGAAAACACCUGCUUCGGUUCUGAGGUGGGAAGCCCGACCUGGCAGUGGCUCAAGUCAGAAGGCUGGAAGACGGAUCAUGGACAGGUACCAGGAUGCCAGACGGCAGAAGUGGAAGAGCGAGAAAAGGAGCCGGACUUGCAUGGGUUAUUCAAGGAAGGGCAGCGUUUCAGCACCUGCUGCUGCAAGGUGGAAGGCGCCACCACGGGAGGUAUGAGCCCACGUGUCGUACUGCUUUAGGAGGGAUGUAAUAAAGGGGGGGGGUGGGCGGUAAUUAGGAAGGGGCCAGUAUAGUAAAUGGCCAGGGAGGCUUCUCAAGUCAAAGGACAUGGGAUUUAACCUCAAAAAAUAAAAUCUAAGGGUGAAGAAACUGUUAACUUCAAAAGUUGGCAUUAACAGCAAUCAUGAGAGCUGCCUCUUACUUAGCACCUACAGUGUCCCCACCGCGGCACUGGCUAUGCAUGCACUUCACGUACUUUGCAUUAAUUAAUCCUCACUAGCAACCGUGUGAAAAAAAGGCAUUUUUUUUCCUUUGACAAUAAAGAUACAGAAGAUGUGUGAUGAAAUCAUGUUCCUGCUUCUGUUGAGCCUUUGCUAGACGACAGACUACCCGGUGUGCACUGGCUGUGACUUACAGUGUCUCGUGGUUCCGUCAGUGGCUGGACAGUUCUUCAGCUGGAGGGUCCCUGGGCUGCAGGUCCAUGAUGGUCGACUCUCACGUGUGCUGCUGCUGGGAGCUGUUGGCUAGUGCGGUCAGCCCUCCACGCAUCCUGCGGCUUCUUGCAAUGUACAUGAGUUCCGUGUGUGGCAGAUGUGGGGCGCCAUCCCAAGACAGCAGGGCAGAAACAGAAACUUCCCUCCAGUAUCACUUCUGCCCCGUUCUGUUAGCCAAGCAAGUGCCAAGGCCGGCCCAGAUUGAAGGUGGAGAAUCAACACUCCAGCUCCGGAUGGGAGGAGCUCUAAGUCACAGUCAGAGGAGGAGGACACUGGAUGGCAAGAGUUUAGGGCCGUUAAACAAAUUGUCAUAUUUCCCAGACUUACUCAGCUUGUGAACGGGGAAGCCAGCAAAUGAACCCAGACCUGCCUGAUGUAGCAACAUGCUUUCCAUGAGCACACUGUGUCCACCCAUCCUUCAGGGUACAUCUGUCCUGCAUGUCCCAUCUCGUUCAUUUCAGUCGUCCAUGGGGGAACCUAAAGGUACGGUUUGCGCUGGAUCGGGUGCGGAUGAAAUGUGAGUCACAGAUCCCGGACUCCCAGAGACGAUGCCUGUGCCCUGUCCUCGAGCAGUAGUGUACGUUACCACUCAUCGAUGUUAGACCUCAGACCCAAGGAGGGAGGCCCGUGACUGCAGCUGUGGCGGGUGCCGUCCCCUCCCGACUCAGGAAACCCAAGCAGAGGGGGCAGGGUACAGAGACCCCCCUCUCGCCGUGGAAAGACACUUUCUUGUCCUCUGCCUCUUGUUUAACCAAGGAAGAAACCAUAAUACUUGUGCGUCCAGCAGGUGCCUCAGGGCGUCCUUGUCAUCGGCGUUGAUGGCGUAGACCAGGGCCGAAGCCCCCGUGCGGUCUUCGAGGCUGGGGUCGGCGCCGUUCUCCAGGAGCAGGGACACCACGUCGCCCCCCGCCCUCCGGAUGCAGGCGUGGAUGAGAGCCGUCUUGCCGGACUUGUCCUGGAUGUUGGGGUCUGCCCUCUGGUCCAGCAGGAGGAGCCUGGUCAGCCUGAGCCUCCCCAGCCACACCGCCUUCAGGAGGGAGUUCCCAUCGGUCCUCAGCUCCGUGUCGUCGUCCAUCAUCCCGGCCUCGGCAGCGCCUCCGGGCCACCGCAGCGAUCAGACCUAGUGAGGGAGAAGGGAGAGGGAUGACGUGUGCCCCGCCGGCAGCCGGAGCGCUGUGGCUGGUGCAGGGGUGCGGGGUGCGGGGCCGCCGGAUCCCGCCAGGGCACCCAGCUCGCCCGCAUCCGUCUGUCACCUGCGGGGUCGGGGGACGGUGGCCGCCCCUCCCAGAGCCAGCACAGAGGUCAAACGAGAGCACGUACGGAGAACCCUUCCCCACAGCGAGGCCGCGGACACCAGCCCCGCGCACGCAGGAAACCCGCCAGAACGGCCAUAGAACAAUGGACGGCUUCACCUUCUCUUUGCCGUACUUCCUGACAUAAGCACCGUUACUGUAUAAGAGGGGAGAAAUCGGGGGAAAAUCAUCAUCAAGCAAAACCAGCCUCGCUACCCGUCCGGGUUGUCGUCUCUACUUCUCCAGCGGGUGUCAGAAUCCCGUCAUCCUCCUGAACGUCUUCCAGCGUCUUCCAGAACGAUGCCGCACCCCUUCCCCCUGGGAACAGGUGCAGGGCAGAGGAUGGGCGAGAUCACACGCCUGCCCACACCCGAGCGUCCGCGGCUGAGCCCUGCCAAACCUGGCCCCGUGUCCCUCCCUGAGUUCCUGCACCAGAGCCCCCAAACCCAGUGUCGCUGGAGAGGCCGUCCGUGGAUACGGAGAGGUGGGGGCCCUCCAGGCCCACGUCUGUGCCAGCAUAGCCCCUCCACGGGGACUCCGUCCCCCAGGCUCCCCACCUAAGGCACAUCUUACCUCCCCCAACCCCACUGCCCUGAGCCAUUUCUGAUCAGUUUAUGACCCUCUGUUAAAUGGGAAGUCAGAAGCCUUCCUUGGCUGAAGUUGACAGACUCAUACCCUUCAUCAGUCUCUAAUACGUUAACAGGUACUUGCAAUUUUCUUAAAAGCCCAAACCACACUUAAGGCUGCAACGAAGAAGAGCUCUCCUCGUACGCGCACAUGCACACGCACACGCACACGCACACGCCUCGGGGAAGCCACUCCCUUCAGGGAAGCGACUGUGGUUAACCGUCCAGUGUCCCUCUGCUUCCAACAAGGCUUUGUCCUGAGAGCUAGAUCUCAGGGGUCGUGCUGCAGGUGUGUUCGUGGUCCCCCAAGAUCUUCUCCAGAAACGCUCCCGCCCAGGGACACCGCAUGGCCGCUGUCUCCCCGUCUCUGCGCCUCCUCCUUCAGGCUCCUACUGUGUGUGUGUGCACGUGGGUGUGCAUGUGUGGGGGUGUGUGUGCGCACGUGAGGUAUGGCCUUUCUCUUUUUCCACCAUCCCCUAUAAGAAGGGCCUGAUAAGGACCUAUAAUAAGAUCCCUUUAGGAAGGUCUCUGGGUUAGGUGUGUGCGUCCCCGCACGCUGGACACAAUGAAGCAGGUUCCACGCCACAAAUAAAGGAGAGGGAGUGCGCAGCGAAAGCACGGCCUCCUGCUCCCUCAGAGGCCCCUCGUGCCCAGCCCAGCCCCCCAGCCCCCCCGCUGUUGCCCCCGUCCCCCGCACACCGUCUCCCUCAGAUGCCCGCAUGUUCGUCCCUUUCAGCACCCCGUGCUUCUAACUGCAAGGUCUCCCCGCUCUUCGCUCCUGACUCAUCGUCCCGCAGACCUCGGCUCAGAUGCAACUUCCUUUUUAAUCAGGAGAAUCACUCAAGACCGAAGAGGGAGGGCAGAGGGAGGUGACAGCUGACUCAUGCGCGGGCUAUAUAAAGAACUCCCACAAAUCACUUCCUCCGAAAGAGGACCCACAAACCGCCGACGAGCACAUAAAAAGGUGCUGAGCCUCAUUAGUAGGCAGAGAAAAUCAAAUUAAGGCACAACGAGAGGCCACUACACAUGCUGUGUAAUCCGACGCGGCUAAAAUUAGACCAACAGCUCCAAGACCAGGGUCGGACCAGGAUUCGAGGCGGCAGGAACCCGCUGGCGGGGCCGAAACCAGCCCUCCGCCCCAGUCGCUCCACGCGGGCUUCCGCCUGCGGUGGACUGAGAAGCGUGGCCACGACGUCCUCCCCUCCCCGAGCACACCCCCGCGAAGACCCUCGCCCCUCCUCCGUGCACCCCUGCCUUGACCAAGAGCGGCCGUGUGCGACUUACAAGGCCUCCGUGGACCUUCGUUUGCUGCCUGUAAAGACAUGCGGGGUGUCCCGCCGGCAGGGACACACGGGGUCCCAGCGGGCCAGCCCCGCUGACCACCGCAGUACGAGCGAGGCCGCCUCGGACCAGCCGACCCCCAGCUGGUCCCCCCUGCGGGAAGGACCGCAGGUGAGGCUGGCAGAAGUUUCCAGAGCCUGGUCCGCGUUGCAGAAACACGCACAAAUAACUGAUUACUGUUCAAAGUCACUCGUUUUGGGGUGAUUCAUUCACAUCAAUAAAUUACCAGUAAAUCUGUGUAGCCAGACAUGUACAGAAACGUUCCCAGCAGCACAAUUCAUAAAAAGCAAAAUCUAGACCCAGCCCACCAAGAAGAAAAUGAAGUGUAGUACACGCA